CAAAGGUGGAGACGGAGUCGGCAUCCUAGGAAAAAACUUAUUUCAUUACAGAUAUAUAGAAAGAUUAGAAACAGAUAGUGUAGUAGGAAAAUUAGAGGAGAAAAGAGGCUGAAUAACUUGGUUUACGUGGAAUAUCAAUCGCUACCUUCGUAGGCCACAGGCAUCUUUCCAUUCUCCGGAAGGAGAGGAGGCACUGAGGCCUCCCUGGUCCGAUCUUAGAGGCCCAGGCAGAAUUAGCAGGCUUGGAUGCAGAUUCUCCAAUUUGGGUUCCAGACCAAUUGAUUCACCGUGUCUCAGCCCCUCGGAUACCGGAUUCCCCAGCUGCCACAACCCCUAAAACGGAAGAGACUUCCUCUGCCUCCGCUCCCUCCACCAGCACGGGAAACACUGCCGACAUCAGGACAACUGACUCCUGCCCGACUUUUUGGGAUUCCAUGGUCUAUAGCCCACCAGGCUCCUCUGCCCAUGGGACUUUCCAGGUGGAUUGUUUACCAAUUGUGUCACCUAGGAAGCCCUGUUCUGUUUCCUUCUUUUAGACGGUAUAUUAUAACAACACAAGAGAAGACUCUACACAUGGACAUCAUCAGAUGGUCAACACCGAAAUCAGAUUGAUUAUAUUCUUUGCACCCAGAGAUGGAGAAGCUCUAUACAGUCAACAAAAACAAGACCAGGAGCUUACUGUGGCUCAGAUCAUGAACUCUUUAAUGCCAAAUUCAUACAUAAAUUGAAGAAAGUAGGGAAAACCAAUAGACCAUUCAGGUAUGACCUAAAUUAAAU
ensembl:lncRNA